AAAGGGGGAAGAAGUGUUCGCAUAGAGGAGCUAAGGGACUUGAGCCUUUGCAGUGCUGGUGAGAACUAAAUGCGUCACUGGAUGUCUUUUGGCCAAGGUUUCAUGUAUUUCAGUGACAGGAUCCACUCAGGAGAGUUGGGGCAAGGCUGGCUGAGGUUCUCAAGGACCUGAGUUUUGAGUUCAGGUGCCCGCAUGGCAAUGGAAUGAUGCUUCCUGACCUUUCAGACCUUUGAGACCUCUGGGAGGUCUUAGAAAUCACCUCAAGCCUCCCAUCCAGGAUACGACUGCCUGGGGGAAGUCCAGGGAAAGGUAGCAGAGAUAUCAUGGACUGAAAGGUGAUGGGUCCCCCAAUGAGCUCACUCCAAGAUCUCAAAGAUUCCAAGCCACUGGCUGAUCCAAAGCCUAAAGCCACCGUUCUGGAGAGGCAGCAGGAAGCAAGCCCGGAGGAGGAAGACAGACCCACCUUCUCAGGUGUCCUGAGAGACUGCUGAAGGGCAGUGAGGAAGAUGUUGCUGGUCCCCAGGGCAGAACACAGCAGCCGGGACCAAGAAGCACCUAGAGUGGGACUCAAGCCCAACACCCCUUCUGAUGAAGCUCUCUGAGCUGUGGUUCCAGAUUGGACUGUUUUUUUGCUUUGUCAUCAUCUGCAUAACAUGCACAGUUCUGGAUGCUUUUGAUUGGUUAGCUUUUUUUUUUUUUCCCCCUUUUUCCCUCUCUGUCUUUUCUUUUUCUUCUCUUGGCCCUGGGAAUUAUAAGAAAAGAAUUGCUUUGGAAAGUAUAAUUCUGUUGCUGACAUUAGCCUUAUUUAUGAACAAAUUCUGUCAGUAGGGAUUUUCUGCAUUGCAAUCCCAGGUUACCUGGUAAAUGGGGCUGCGUGGUUUGAUUUGUGUAGCACUGAUCCUUAGAUUAAAAAUACGUUUUCUUUCUUGACUUCUUUUUUUAAGUUUGGAUCCAGGUAAUGGCCUGAGUCACAUUUGCUUAGCUACUGAAGCAAUCUCAAUGUGGUAUCACUUAGAGUUGAAAUACAAUCAAACAUAUAUUAUACCCGGGGCGCUUGCAUGCUCUUUGAUAUAUAUGUUAUGCUCCAAAGAAACACAAACCUAAUAGGCUGAAAUUUAAUUCCUGUCUGAUCCUGCAGCUAGAAUGGGGGAGAAAUUAUAAAUAUCAAACAUGGCUUCAAAGACCCUGAAUGUAAGCUAACCAGCAGUAAGUAGAUGGUUUAGAAAUGCCAUUUGCUAAGGCAAAGCACAAAUUGGAGAUCAACUGACCUCAUCAACAGUGUUGCUCAGGUCUGUCUGUGGAUCUACCCAUUUUGGAGGAAUUAGAGAACAAGGCAUGCUUCUGUGUUUGGGUUUACGGAAAUUGUGGUAUUGCUGACUUAUGUUCUUUCUGUAACUGUGCCUGCCUUGCAAUAAAACACCUUUAGUUGACUCAG